rnacentral:rRNA from 1 species
UACGUAGGGUGCAAGCGUUAAUCGGAAUUACUGGGCGUAAAGCGUGCGCAGGCGGUGAUGUAAGACAGAUGUGAAAUCCCCGGGCUCAACCUGGGAACUGCAUUUGUGACUGCAUCGCUGGAGUGCGGCAGAGGGGGGUAGAAUUCCACGUGUAGCAGUGAAAUGCGUAGAGAUGUGGAGGAAUACCGAUGGCGAAGGCAGCCCCCUGGGGACGUGACUGACGCUCAUGCACGAAAGCGUGGGGGAGCAAACAGG